UCGUGCGGCCUGUGCAGACUGCAAACAGUUGUCUUAGCAACGUUGCAGUCAGGUGUAAUCGAUAAGGAUUGCACGACAACUUCUGCUCAGAGACAAUGUUCAAUGCCUUCAACGUCAGCUAAAAUCGUCAUCAAGAUCACGACAAAUUCAGUAUAAAAGCCCAGAGGAUCUCUUCAGUCAGCACAGUCAGUUCACAAUCAGUCAACUGAAGCAAUCAAACCAACCAACCCAAUUCAAGAUGAUGAAGUUCCUGAUCUUCGCUUUCCUCGUUGCCUUCGCUGUUGCCGCUGCUUAUGCCAGCCCUGAGCCAGCUCCUCGUCCAGCUCCUCUUCCUGUUGCCUACCCACAACACGGAUAUGGAUACGGAUAUGCUCCAUAUGGUGGAUAUGGUUACUACUAAUUACCCCCAAACACUGGACUUAACCGAAGCAACUAAAUGCAGAUACACACAAUUUCUUUUCUUCCCAAAAUAAUGAAAUCUCACAAUUAAAGCAUUUGCAAUUAAAAAA